rnacentral:rRNA from 1 species
UUUAUUGGAGAGUUUGAUCCUGGCUCAGGAUGAACGCUGGCGGCGUGCCUAAUACAUGCAAGUCGAGCGAAUGGAUUAAGAGCUUGCUCUUAUGAAGUUAGCGGCGGACGGGUGAGUAACACGUGGGUAACCUGCCCAUAAGACUGGGAUAACUCCGGGAAACCGGGGCUAAUACCGGAUAACAUUUUGAACCGCAUGGUUCGAAAUUGAAAGGCGGCUUCGGCUGUCACUUAUGGAUGGACC